rnacentral:rRNA from 1 species
UAAUUCAGAACACCCGAGAACCUUACAGGCCUUGAAUCCAAUGAACUUUCAGAGAUAGCUUGGUGCUUCGGAACAUUGAGACAGGUGCUGAUGGUGUCGUCAGUCGUGUCGUGAGAUGUUGGGUUAAGACCCGUAACGAGCGCACCCUUGUCCUUAGUUACCAGCACGUUAUGGUGGGCACUCUAAGGAGACUGCCGGUGACAAACCGGAGUAAGGUGGCGAUGACGUCAAGUCAUAAUGGCCCUUUACGGCCUGGGCUACACACGUGCUACAAUGGUCGGUACAGAGGGUUGCCAAGCCGCGAGGGGGAGCUAAUCCCAGAAAACCGAUCGUAGUCCGGAUCGCAGUCUGAACUCGACUGCGUGAAGUCGGAAUCGCUAGUAAUCGCGAAUCAGAAUGUCGCGGGGAAUACGUUCCCGGGCCUUGUACAACCGCCCGUCACACCAUGGGAGUGGGUUGCACCAGAAGUAGCUAGUCUAACCUUCGGGAGGACGGUUACCACGGUGUGAUUCAUGACUUGAGUGAA